rnacentral:lncRNA from 1 species
AUGACAUCUCGGUGACAGGGGGAACUGUGGACGGGACCCCAGGAAGCCAACCCCUGCCCUGCUCAGGCGGGGAGCCACAGGAGUCCCGGAAUCCCUGGUCCUCAUUCCCAUACAGGAGUGAGGGGUGGCGGCAGCCCGGGCAUCUCAGAGGGAACCAGCGUUUGUAGGUGGUGACCCACCCCUUGUCUGGCCUUGUCAGGAGACUCCAAUCCCUGCCCAGGGGCCACCCCUGGCCCCAGAGCUGCCUGGGGAGCAGCUGGGUGAAGGGCCUGGCCCAGGAGGAGAGAAAGGACUUUCCCGGCAGAGGCUCGCCCCCCCCCCAGCCCAGGAUCCCGCUGGAGAACCUCUUCUGGAUGGGCUUGGAUUGGUCCUGGAGGCCCCAGGUGUGGGGUUCCCUGGUGCACCAGGAAGGCCAGGCGUGGCCCCGAGGGGAGCCAGGAAGGACCCAGGUCCCACAGCGGCUCUGCCACUGGUUGCUCUAGGCCCCAGCCUCCAAAUUCCUGGGACUGAAAACCCAAGCAGUCUGGCCAGGCCCGGGGACAGAGUGGCCCAGUGUCACACCUCCUGCCCUCCUCAGCUACGAAGCUGGAGGCCAGGUCCUGAGUGAAGAGCUCUGCCCACCUCAGCCCGGGGACUGAGGCCAGAUGAGGCCACCAUGUGUCCCCUGCAGCUUCCCACAGACAGGGUGUGAUGGCUCCCUUCCUUGUGCCAAGUGUCCUCGUGGCGCUUCCUGUGCCCCAUCCCUUUCCACCCUGGACCACUUCUGGGAGCCUGCCAGCCCGCCCACUCCAUCCGCAGAUGUCUGGGGACAGCGCGUGAGAAGAGAGGACAAGGGGCCUCCUUAGCUGAUGCACAGAUGUGCCCCUUGCAAGGCCCCGCCUCACCCUCGGGGUGACCUGCUCCCCAGCUGCGGCUUUGUUGCUCUGCUGGAGCCCCCUGGGGCCUGUGACUCCUUUUCCCCAUGGGGGGGGGAGCCUCAAGGCCCUGGCCUCAGAGCCCUUCCUU